rnacentral:rRNA from 1 species
AAAUUGAAGAGUUUGAUCAUGGCUCAGAUUGAACGCUGGCGGCAGGCCUAACACAUGCAAGUCGAACGGUAACAGGAAGCAGCUUGCUGCUUUGCUGACGAGUGGCGGACGGGUGAGUAAUGUCUGGGAAACUGCCUGAUGGAGGGGGAUAACUACUGGAAACGGUGGCUAAUACCGCAUAACGUCGCAAGACCAAAGAGGGGGACCUUCGGGCCUCUUGCCAUCAGAUGUGCCCAGAUGGGAUUAGCUGGUUGGUGAGGUAACGGCUCACCAAGGCGACGAUCCCUAGCUGGUCUGAGAGGAUGACCAGCCACACUGGAACUGAGACACGGUCCAGACUCCUACGGGAGGCAGCAGUGGGGAAUAUUGCACAAUGGGCGCAAGCCUGAUGCAGCCAUGCCGCGUGUAUGAAGAAGGCCUUCGGGUUGUAAAGUACUUUCAGCGGGGAGGAAGGUGUUGUGGUUAAUAACCGCAGCAAUUGACGUUACCCGCAGAAGAAGCACCGGCUAACUCCGUGCCAGCAGCCGCGGUAAUACGGAGGGUGCAAGCGUUAAUCGGAAUUACUGGGCGUAAAGCGCACGCAGGCGGUCUGUCAAGUCGGAUGUGAAAUCCCCG